UAUAGGGCAAAUGACUAAAAGGUUGAUGGUUUGUAUUUGAGAUCUCAAGUUUCGAAACCUGCUUCAUGUUUUUAAGUGAGUUCAUUUAAGAAAAAAAUAUAUAAAACAGAUAAUCUAUUAUCUUUUUCUCUGAAAAAUAAAAUAAAUAUUUUCUUGUUACUGGACUAAAAUUAAAUUUUUUAUUUUUAUUUUUGUUCCAGAACUAACAUUCUCUUGUU
rnacentral:lncRNA from 1 species